AUGGAAUCUUAGUGAGAACAGCACCAGUGGCUCUACACAGUUAGUACUUAGACAUUGUAUACGAGAAGGAGGGCAAGAUGUUCCAAGCAACAAGGAUGUCACAUCUCUAGAUUGGAAUAGUGAAGGUACACUUCUAGCAACUGGUUCCUAUGAUGGGUUUGCCAGAAUAUGGACUAAAGAUGGUAACCUUGCUAGCACCUUAGGGCAGCAUAAAGGCCCUAUAUUUGCAUUAAAAUGGAAUAAGAAAGGAAAUUUCAUCCUAAGUGCUGGAGUAGACAAGACUACAAUUAUUUGGGACGCACAUACUGGUGAAGCCAAGCAACAGUUUCCUUUUCAUUCAGCACCAGCAUUGGAUGUUGAUUGGCAGAGCAACAACACCUUUGCUUCUUGUAGUACAGAUAUGUGCAUUCAUGUCUGUAAAUUAGGACAAGACAGACCUAUUAAAACAUUCCAAGGACAUACGAAUGAAGUAAAUGCUAUCAAAUGGGACCCAACUGGCAAUCUCUUGGCCUCCUGUUCUGACGACAUGACUUUAAAGUACCAAGGACUGCAGAUGUGAUGACCGUUACAGAUAUGAAAAUCAUGAGGGAAAACUGAUUUUCCUGCUACUAUGAACAGAUUAAAUUUAACUUUGCGAAACUUAUAUGGAGUAUGAAACAAGACAAUUGUGUCCAUGAUUUGCAAGCACAU
rnacentral:lncRNA from 1 species